rnacentral:rRNA from 1 species
GUUGUCCGGAUUACUGGGCGUAAAGGGCGCGCAGGCGGCCUGUUAAAGUGUGAAGUGAAAUCUCAUGGCUCAACCAUGAAAUUGCUUUGCAUACUGGCAGGCUAGAGAAAGGCAGAGGUAGAUGGAAUUCCCGGUGUAGCGGUGACAUGCGUUGAUAUCGGGAGGAACACCAAUGGCGAAGGCAGUCUACUGGGCCUCUUCUGACGCUCAGGCGCGAAAGCGUGGGUAGCAAACAGGAUUAGAUACCCUGGUAGUCCACGCCCUAAACGAUGGAUACUAGGCGUUAGGGGUAUCGACCCCCUUAGUGCCGCAGCAAACGCGAUAAGUAUCCCGCCUGGGGACUACGGCCGCAAGGCUGAAACUCAAAUGAAUUGACGGGGACCCGCACAAGCGGUGGAGCAUGUGGAUUAAUUCGAUACUAACCGAAGAACCUUACCCAGAUUUGACAUCGAGGGACCGGCUAUGAAAGUAGCCUUCCGCCCCACAAGGGCGGCCCAAAGACACCUGUUGCAUGGCUGUCGUCAGCUCGUGCCGUGAGGUGUUUGGUUAAGUCCAGCAACGAGCGCAACCCUCGUCCUAUGUUGCCAACAGGUAAAGCUGGGAACUCAUAGGAGACCGCCGGCGCGAGCCGGAGGAAGGUGAGGAUGACGUCAAGUCAGCAUGGCGGUUACGUCUGGGGCUUCACACAUGCUACAAUGGAUGCAACAAAGGGGAGCGAGACUGCGAGGUCAAGCGAAUCCCAAAAAUACAUCCUCAGUUCGGAUUGCAGUCUGCAACUCGACUGCAUGAAGCCGGAAUCGCUAGUAAACGCAGGUCAGCUAUACUGCGUUGAAUACGUUCCCGGGUCUUGUACACACCGCCCGUCAAGUCACCCGAAUUGUCUGCACCCGAAGUCCGUGGCCCAACCGUAAGGAAGGAGCGGCCGAAGGUGCGG